GACGAACGCUGGCGGCGUGCUUAACACAUGCAAGUCGAACGGAAAGGCCCUGCUUUUGUGGGGUGCUCGAGUGGCGAACGGGUGAGUAACACGUGAGUAACCUGCCCUUGACUUUGGGAUAACCUCAGGAAACUGGGGCUAAUACCGGAUAGGAGCUCCUGCUGCAUGGUGGGGGUUGGAAAGUUUCGGCGGUUGGGGAUGGACUCGCGGCUUAUCAGCUUGUUGGUGGGGUAGUGGCUUACCAAGGCUUUGACGGGUAGCCGGCCUGAGAGGGUGACCGGCCACAUUGGGACUGAGAUACGGCCCAGACUCCUACGGGAGGCAGCAGUGGGGAAUAUUGCACAAUGGGCGGAAGCCUGAUGCAGCAACGCCGCGUGCGGGAUGACGGCCUUCGGGUUGUAAACCGCUUUCGCCUGUGACGAAGCGUGAGUGACGGUAAUGGGUAAAGAAGCACCGGCUAACUACGUGCCAGCAGCCGCGGUGAUACGUAGGGUGCGAGCGUUGUCCGGAUUUAUUGGGCGUAAAGGGCUCGUAGGUGGUUGAUCGCGUCGGAAGUGUAAUCUUGGGGCUUAACCCUGAGCGUGCUUUCGAUACGGGUUGACUUGAGGAAGGUAGGGGAGAAUGGAAUUCCUGGUGGAGCGGUGGAAUGCGCAGAUAUCAGGAGGAACACCAGUGGCGAAGGCGGUUCUCUGGGCCUUUCCUGACGCUGAGGAGCGAAAGCGUGGGGAGCGAACAGGCUUAGAUACCCUGGUAGUCCACGCUGUAAACGGUGGGUACUAGGUGUGGGGUCCAUUCCACGGGUUCCGUGCCGUAGCUAACGCUUUAAGUACCCCGCCUGGGGAGUACGGCCGCAAGGCUAAAACUCAAAGGAAUUGACGGGGCCCCGCACAAGCGGCGGAGCAUGCGGAUUAAUUCGAUGCAACGCGUAGAACCUUACCUGGGUUUGACAUGGAUCGGGAGUGCUCAGAGAUGGGUGUGCCUCUUUUGGGGUCGGUUCACAGGUGGUGCAUGGCUGUCGUCAGCUCGUGUCGUGAGAUGUUGGGUUAAGUCCCGCAACGAGCGCAACCCUUGUUCACUGUUGCCAGCACGUUAUGGUGGGGACUCAGUGGAGACCGCCGGGGUCAACUCGGAGGAAGGUGGGGAUGACGUCAAGUCAUCAUGCCCCUUAUGUCCAGGGCUUCACGCAUGCUACAAUGGCUGGUACAGAGAGUGGCGAGCCUGUGAGGGUGAGCGAAUCUCGGAAAGUCGGUCUCAGUUCGGAUUGGGGUCUGCAACUCGACCUCAUGAAGUCGGAGUCGCUAGUAAUCGCAGAUCAGCAACGCUGCGGUGAAUACGUUCCCGGGGCU
rnacentral:rRNA from 1 species